CCUACGGGAGGCAGCAGUGGGGAAUAUUGCACAAUGGGCGCAAGCCUGAUGCAGCGACGCCGCGUGAGGGAUGACGGCCUUCGGGUUGUAAACCUCUUUCAGUAGGGAAGAAGCGAAAGUGACGGUACCUGCAGAAGAAGCGCCGGCUAACUACGUGCCAGCAGCCGCGGUAAUACGUAGGGCGCAAGCGUUAUCCGGAAUUAUUGGGCGUAAAGAGCUCGUAGGCGGUUUGUCGCGUCUGCCGUGAAAGUCCGGGGCUCAACUCCGGAUCUGCGGUGGGUACGGGCAGACUAGAGUGAUGUAGGGGAGACUGGAAUUCCUGGUGUAGCGGUGAAAUGCGCAGAUAUCAGGAGGAACACCGAUGGCGAAGGCAGGUCUCUGGGCAUUAACUGACGCUGAGGAGCGAAAGCAUGGGGAGCGAACAGGAUUAGAUACCCUGGUAGUCCAUGCCGUAAACGUUGGGCACUAGGUGUGGGGGACAUUCCACGUUUUCCGCGCCGUAGCUAACGCAUUAAGUGCCCCGCCUGGGGAGUACGGCCGCAGGCUAAAACUCAAAGGAAUUGACGG
rnacentral:rRNA from 1 species